rnacentral:rRNA from 1 species
GCCCGGCGGGGUGCACCAUUGACCGACCCAGAUCUUCUGUGAAGGGUUCGAGUGCAAGUAUACCUGUUAGGACCCGAAAGAUGGUGAACUAUGCCUGAGCAGGGCGAAGCCAGAGGAAACUCUGGUGGAGGCUCGCAGCGAUACUGACGUGCAAAUCGUUCGUAUGACUUGGGUAUAGGGGCGAAAGACUAAUCGAACCAUCUAGUAGCUGGUUCCCACCGAAGUUUCCCUCAGGAUAGCUGGAGCUCUUGCACGAGUUUUGUCAGGUAAAGCGAAUGAUUAGAGGCCUCGGGGGUGAAACACCCUCGACCUAUUCUCAAACUUUAAAUAGGCAAGGCGCCGGGGCUGCUUCGGUGAGCCCCGGCACUCGAAUCGGAGCUCCAAGUGGGCCAUUUUUGGUAAGCAGAACUGGCGAUGCGGGAUGAACCGAA